CUCUUCGGGGCGAGCCGGGUGGCGCUGGAGCCGCGCCCUGCUGAGCGAGCGAGCCGGCCGGGGACGGUUUCGGGUCGGGACUCCGGCUUCGGGAACGGGCCUCUGGAAACCUGCGACGUCAGUCCUUACCCGCCCGCGGCUGCCGCGGACCGUCCCACCCCCAAACCCGUAGAAGCCCCUCCGACCUGCAACCUCCAGCCGCCCGGCCCUAGGACUUGAGCGGCUCCCUGGCCGGUGCGGAACCUGCGGGCUAAUAAUCUAGCGACCGGGAGAACGCCAAACAUCCCUGGACUAGAAGUUGCAGGGGAAAUCAAACAGCCCAGAAAGUUUAUUCUCCUUGCUGGUAUUUCUUCCACUUGCUAUUUUGCUGAGAGAUGCAUGCAAACUACCCUUAGACUUUCAGAUGCAGUGCGUUUUACUUAGCCGUGCCUGACAAACACACAGAACUUUUACCGUCUGGUAGAUCCGCCUUGACUUUACCAGCGAAUACUAAAGUCACUUAAAAAAAAAUCACAAGGCUCGAAAACAGCAGCAUUAGAAGUAGACUUUAUGGUACUCUGCUCAGCUAUGUUCUCAUUUGAUUCCAACCACUACACGGCAGAAAAGGAAAGAAGACUGAAUAAUGAUUGGAAGAACGCCGGAGUCAUCAAGCUCUUUUGAUAACUGCAUAUGUGAACUAGGUCAAGUCACUCUCCCUCAACGGAUCACCAGUUUACCCAACUGUAAAUGGCAACAAUUUUGAACUGAACGUUCUUCCUUCUACAGCCAAAAUUCUUCGUUUGCUAGGUUUGUGAAGUGCUUUUAUAUGUAUGAGCGCUUUCUUAACUAUGAAGAUAUCUGAGUCAUCGAACUUUUGGUGGGGGCAAUCUCAUGAUCAGUCAUGACUAGAUUUUAGAGUUUUCUCAUCCCCAUACUCAAAGUUUUUUUUUUAAGAAUAAAAAUGAAAAGAAACAAUACCCCACAAUAUUUCUGAGCCUCAAAGGACAGACUAAAAAAGCUAACUUUUAAAAUACUUCAUUUUGAAAUAAUUUUGAACUUACAAAAAAAUCGCAAAAAUAAUACCUGGAGUCCCUGUAUACCCUUCACCCAGAUUCCCCUACUGUUAAAUACUUACAUAACCAUAACACAAUUACCAAAACCAGGAAAUUAACACUGGUACGAGACUCUUAACAAGAGAUCUUAUUUGAAUGUCACCAAUUUUCUUCCUAAUGUUCUUCUGUUCUAGGAUCCAAUCCAGGUUCCCACAUGGCAUUUAUUCCUCACUUCUCCUUAGUCUCCUCCAAUCUGUGACACUUUCUAAGUCUUUCCUUGUCUUUCAUGACCAUGACACUUUGGAUGAGUACUGGUCAUUUAUUCUGUAAAAUGCCUCUCACUUUGUGUUUGUUGAAUGUUUUCUCAUGAUUAGACCGAGACCAUGUCUUUUUGGCAGGAACAUCACAGAAAUGGUGUGUAUCCUAUCUGAGGGUAUGUGAUAUUGAUAUAUCUUAUCACUCAUUAUGUUAACCUUAAACACCUGGUUAAAGUGGCAUCUGCUGGGUUUCUCCACUGUAAAGUGACUAUUUUCCCUUUAUUUAUUUAUUUUAGAAACAGGGUCUUGCUGUGUUGCCCAGGCUGGAGUGCAGUGGCACAAUCACUGCUCACUGCAGCCUCAAUCUCCCAGGCUCAAGCGAUCCUCUGCCUCCUGAGUAGCUGGGACUACAGGCAUGCACCAUUAUGCCCAGUUAAUUUUUUUAAAAAUGUUUUGUAUAGACAGGGUCUCGCUAUAUUGCCCAGGCUGGUCUCAAACUCCUGGCCUCAAAAGAUCCUCCCACCUCGGCCUCCCAAAGUGCUGGGAUUAAAGGCAUGAGCCAGCCACCAUGCCUGGUCUAUUUUUUAUUGAUAAAUGAAAUAGACCAUGCCUGUUCUAUUUUUAAUUGAUAAAUAUCCUGGGAGAAAUACUUUGGGACAAUGCAAAUAUCCUGUUUCUCCUCCAACUUUUACCCACUGAUUUCAGCAUAUAUCAGUGGAUCUUGCCUGCAACCAUUAUUACCAUGGCAUUUGCCUACUAGUGAUUUUGUGUUUCCUUCAUUUGUUCUCCAUUUAUUAAUUGGAAUUCUUCUGUAAGGAGGAGUUGUCCCUUCUCCCCAACUUAUCCAUUUAUUCAAUUUUUUUUGUAAACUAUGGACUCAUGGGCAUCUAUUUUAUUCUAUGAGCUAUAAUUCAAUACUGUCAUCAUUUAGUUUCUUGCUCAAGUUAUUCUAACUUCAGCCAUUGGGAGCUCCUUCAGACUGGCUACUAUGCUGUCUUGUCAUGCCCCCACCCUUUCUCUAGCACUUUCUUACAUUCUUACACCAAAAGACAUUACAGCCUCAUCUUGUAUUUUCCCUGCUUCUGUCCAGAAUUAGCCAUUAUUCCAAAGAUCCCGAGUUCCUUUAUUGGAGAAUGAUAUUAGACACAAAGAUGUGGGUACUAAGUAUACUCGUUGCUGUUGGGGUGUUAAUUGCUUCUAGGGCUUCCCAAGACAGAGCUAGGAAAUGAAAGCAUACAUAAUAACCCAUGCAUACACACAGAUCAAUAUCUAUUCCUGUAUCUAUCUGUAUACAUACUCAUGUGUCCUUUCUAAUCCACACCACGGUAUUCAUCCUAACCUUCCCUUUUUAUUUUUAACUUUUUUCCUCUGAUAGUGAGAAAAUAGGCUCUCAUUAUCUACUCUAUAUACAUUUAUUUGUUCAACCUCAGUAUCUACAUACUUACAUAUGCCUGUGAGGAACAGAUUUACUAACUAGAAUCCUGUAUUUGUGUGCAAUUCUUUUUAUCUUUAUUAUAAAUAUAGCACCUCCAGGCUUCUUUUUAUUAGUGUCAGCAUGACAUAGCUUUUCCCAUCUUUUUACUGUUAAUAUUUUAAACUCAAAAAAAGCAAGGAGGAAAACAGUAUGCUACUAUCUGUGUGAAAAUGGAAAAUAAGUAUGGAUAUAUUUGCUCAUAUGUAUAUAUAUAAUAUCUAUGGGAGAGGGAAAACCAAAAUAUCAGUUUGGAGGUCAACUGAUUAACUGGGGAAAAGAGAUGAGGGGAAAACUUCGCUGCAUACUCUACUAUCGUUGAAAUUUCUUAAACUUUUUCAUUGAGUAUAAUUCACAAAUCAUAAAACUCACCCUUUUAAAGUCUACACAUCAGUAGUUUUUAACACAUUUAUAUACAAAGUUGUGUAACUAUCAUCACUAAUUCCAGGACAUUUUCAUCACCCUUAAAAAAAAAGCCAUGUACCCAUUAGUAGUUAAUUCCCAUACCCCUCACCCCUCACUCACCCAUCUACUGCCCUUCACAAGACCCUGGCAACCACUAAUCUGCUUUCUGUCUCUAUGGAUUUGCCAACUCUUGAUGUUUCAUAUAAAUGGAAUCACACAAUAUGUGACCUUUUAUGUCUGGCUUCUUUCACUUAACAUCAUGUUUUUAAGGUUCAUCCAUGUUGUAGCAUGGAUCAGUACUUUGUUCCUUUUUGUAGCUGAGUAAUAUUACAUUGUAUGUAUAUACCAUAUUUUGUUGAUGUACUCAUUAGUUGACUGUUUUUCUAAAUUUUUGAAUUAUGAAAAUAUCCAUUCAAAAAUUAAACUUUAAAAAAUAGAAACAAAAUGAAAAAGCCCUUCUCAUAAAAAACAGAAAAAUGUAAAAAAAAAAAAUCAAGCAAAUAAUGUAUGAAAAAUAACAACAUACAGAAAAGCUUCUUUGACAUUUGCCAGGACUCACAGACUCAAUAGCAACUUACACUCGCAACUAAAAUUUAUUACAGCUUGGAAUACAGAGGAAAAGUAACAGGAAAAAUAUACGUAUCAGUAGAAUCAAGAGAAGCCCAGCACAAGCUUCCAAUGUUCUUCCUAGUUCGAAGCCACAUGCACAAGGACUCUCUCUCUCUAGCAGCAAACUACAGAGGCAUGUAUGGAAUGUCUCCACCCUGGGAAGCCCAGUUCUAGUCUCAAGGUCUGAGGUGCAGAUGGGUCCUGGUCACAUAUGCACAGCCUGCUACCAACUGGCCAUGGCAACUGUAAUGCAGGACCCUAACAAUGAAUCAGUCAUCAAUCUUGAUCUUGAGCAAAGCAACCCUGACAAGCUGUUAUGGCAUGGUCCAUUGUUCCAGGUGUAUACAACACAAUAACCAAUCAGUGACAAAAUGAAUGGUGGCCACAUUCCCAGGGGAUAGUUAAGGUUUCCCUGGGAGACAUGCAAAGAGUAAGCCACCAAACCUGCUAUAUUAACUCUUUCCUCACAUGAGAUUUCUUUAUUGCUAAUUCCCCAUCACUGGGGUAUGAACUGGAGUUGAGGUACAAGUCACAGAAAUAAGGGAGUGAAGAAUAGGGAUUGGGCACCAUUUGACUUCUACUUCACCUAUAAACAGGAGUUAUUUGUCUUCGUGGAAAUUAUUCUCUUUUCCACUUAAAAAAUAUAAAGACUAGACACCUCUGCUUUGUGUGGGCUUGCUUUCCCCCGAUUAUGUCAACCUUUCCAGCUCCUGGAACAGGAUCCAAAGUCCUCAGCAUGAUACACAGAGCCCCACCUGAUCUCCCCACCCCCGGGACCUCCCUGCCCUCAUCUCCCACUGCCCUCCCCCUUCAUGGCUCUGCUCCAGCCACGCUGGGGAUCUUGAGUUUCCUCACACACACCAGGCUGCCGCCAGCUUCAGGGCCUUAGCUGUCGCCAUUCUCUUUGCCUGGAAUGUUCUUAGAAAUCCUCUUCACUGUCCCCUCAUCUCCUGCAUGCCUCUCCUCAAAGGUCACCUCACUGGAGGCCUCCUGGCCACUGUAUCUAAAACAGUAGCCCCUGCCAUUCUCUGCACCCUUUCCUCACACCUGACAAUGUAUUGUUAUCCUGAAUAUUUAAUUAUUUUUUACCUGCUCCUCCUCCAACUCCCAAUGAGAAUGUCUGCACCAUGGAGGCAGGGACUGUUUCUGGUUCACGGCUAAGUCCCAAGGCCAUGAACAAGAAGGGGACAGCUGUCACACUCUGCAGUAGUAUAUGAUAGGCACACACAUAUCACAUCACUUCUAGGACUGCUCACUCUCCAGUGUUCUGUCUUUCCAGUGGCUUGUUGCUGCUAUUUUCUCUGUCAUGCUCUUGGUCCAUUUUCCCUUGCUCUCUUUCUUAAUUGACUAUAAUUAUAGAAGUACAUUACCAAUCACUUCUAAGAUGAACACUUGUUCACUUUUUAACAUCUAGGACAUUGGGAUGCCCAUUACGAUCAAUGGCAUAUUGUAGGGGAUGAUGAAUAAAUGGGGGACAUAGUUAUCAGUUUUUACAAAAGAAAAACUGGUCAUGUUACAGUGGAGAAAUCCAGUAGAUGCCACUUGAACCAGCUAAUUAAAGUUAACAUAAUGAAUAAGAUAUAUCAAUAUCCCAUACCCUCAGAUGUCAUGCACAUCAUUUCUGCGUGUGGGUUUCUUUUUUAUUUGUCAAAACCACAUGAUCUCAGUCUAAUCAUGAGAAAACAUUCAACAAGCACAAGGUGAGAUGUAUUUUACAGAAUAACUGACCAGUAUUCAUCCUAAGUGUCAUGGUCAUGAAAGACAAGGAAAGACUGGGAAAGUGUCACAGGUUGGAGGAGACUAAGGAGAUAUAAGGAAUAAAUGCCAUGUGGGAUCCCAGAUUGGAUCCUGGAACAGAAAAAUAACAUUAGGAAGAAAAUUGGUGACAUUCAAAUAAGGUCUUGAGUUUACUUAAGAAUCUUGUACCAGUGAUAAUUCCCUGGUUUUGAUAACUGUGCAAUGCAUGGCAUGUAAGUUGUUGACAUUAGGGGAAUCUGGAUAAAAAGUAUACAGGAGUUUCCUGUAUCACUUUUGUAACUUUUCUGUAAGCCUAAAAUUAUUAAUAUUUCAAAAUAAAAUGUUUAAAAGGCGAGGCUGAACUAUCAAUAUGUAUUUGUUUGGGUACCAUUAGGUCGGUGCAGAAGUAAUUGCAGUUUUUGCCAUUGCUUUCAUGGCAAAAAACACAAUUACUUCCGCACCAACCUAUAAUUGUAAUUCUAUUUUCCUUUCAAAAGAGGUUUUUGAAAUGUCCAAAAUAGCAUUGACUUUUACCAGUCAAAGAUACUUCCCUUUAAAGGUUAGCAUCAUAGAAAAUAGAGAUCCUUAAAUAAAAUGUUAUUUUCCUUGACUCUCAAGAUGACAGCUGCUGCUUAUGUGUCUUUAUAGUGUAGACAGACCUCUCUGAUGGAGCUGAUAAAUGGUGCUAAGUCUUGCAUAAUCCAGUGACCCUUGGGAUUGUGUUGCUAGGCAUCUAGUUUCUG
rnacentral:lncRNA from 1 species